rnacentral:rRNA from 1 species
AGAUCCCUUUUAGCUUAAAUCCCCAUAACACACACUUUGUGUCGACUUGGUGGCGCAUUUUCGCUAUUAUGUGUUCUUUUAAUUAAAAUGAUUCUUUUUAAAUCUCUAAUAUUUGCUUCGGCAUUUUUGGAGAUUUGUUACUUUGAGUAAAUUAGAGUGUUCAAAGCAAACAGAUAUAGCUUUUGUGCGUUUGAAUACUACAGCGUGGAAUAACAAAAUUGAACAAGUCAAAAUUUUUGUUCUUUUUUCUUAUUUUGGCUUAUUUACUAUUAAUAGGAGUAGCUUGGGGGCAUUUGUAUUCAGAUGUCAGAGGUGAAUUUCUUAUUUUUUCUGGAGACAAACAUCUGCAAAAGCAUUUGCCUAAAAUACUUCCAUUAAUCAAAAACAAAAGUUAGGGGAGUGAAGACGAUCAUAUCCCGUCGUAAUCUUAACCAUAAACUAUGCCGACUAGGCUUUGGAUGAAAGAUUUUAAAAUAAGAGUUUUCCUUUCCCUUCGGGGUUAGGACACA